rnacentral:lncRNA from 1 species
AACUUGAGAAUCAUUUUUAAGUUUCAGGAUAAUUUUUAAAGGGUCACAAUUCAAACCCCCCCUUUCUUGUGACUAUUUUAUCAACUUCAAUUGGUAUCAGAGCUAGGCUCUAAGGGUUUGAACACUUAAACAAGUGUUAGAGAAAAGAUUCAGGAAGUAUGUCUAAAGUCAAGUACAUAGCUGAAGGAGGAUCUUCAAAUAGACCACCACUCUUUGAUGGAUCAAACUACUACUUCUGGAAAGG